UUAAAGGGUUAAAUCUCUGGAGCAAGGGAGCAUCCUAUAGCUCUCCUAUAACUGUUCUGAGACCAGUGCAGACAGACAGCACACUGGAGGUUAAGUCGUUCACUAAAUAGGGAGCAAGGGAGCAUCCUAUAGCUCUCCUAUAACUGUUCUGAGACCAGUGCAGACAGACAGCACACUGGAGGUCAAGUCAUGCACUAAAUAGGGAGCAAGGGAGCAUCCUAUAGCUCUCCUAUAACUGUUCUGAGACCAGUGCAGACAGACAGCACACUGGAGGUCAAGUCAUGCACUAAAUAGGGAGCAAGGGAGCAUCCUAUAGCUCUCCUAUAACUGUUCUGAGACCAGUGCAG